CUGAAAGGAGGUCAGCCAGUUCCUAUCAGUAUGCAUGUCCUGUGAAACUACCGGGCACCUAAUCUUACACCAGCCUCCUCACAGCCCUGCCCACCCCCGCCAUUGUGCCCAAGAGUGCCUGGAAUGGGCAAGGCCUUCCUCAAACCAAGAUGGAGGCGACCUCCCAGCUCCCAGUGCCGUUAGCCUGCCACAGUCAAGAGCGGUUCCCCUCAGCUGCCAGCCCCUACCUUUCCCUGCAGCUGCCACCACCUUAUCCCGGGCUCUUCACUUUACAUGCAGUGUCUCUGGGAAUCCGCAGACAUCACACGAGCCCAAGACCAGCCAGAGCUGAGGUGCUGCAACGAAAGAAGACUCAGCCCACGCUGAAGACGACCCAGGCCAGAACCAGGGCUGGGCUUGUGGCCAGGAGGGCAGCAUGGGCACACCUUAGAGACUCAGGGACUCAGAUGGAGGAGGCAAGGAGAUGGGCCCCAAAAACGAUAAACAUUAAGCACCCUGGUUGCUAGGCAUGCUGGAUACAGGGAGGAGACUCCAGUGUGGUCUCGGCAGUGUGGAGAGCCCCUUUUCUUGUUCCUCACAUUCCUCAUCUGCACAAUGUCAAGGUGCACCUGAUGCUCUGUUCUAGCUCCUGACGUGCUCCUGUUCUAGCAAGGAUAGUUCGGCACCAGGGUCCUGUCAUCUAACAGCCCGAGAAGGCUGUAAUGACUGCAGCUGUCAAUCCAGGGACCACAAGCCAGGGAGCCUGGUCAGGCAGGAAGGAUCACUACUAAGAGCCCAUAGACAGCAAACAAGGAUGGGUUAAUUUUGCCAAGGUUCUUGCUUGUGACACCAGAAGGGAGGGGUCUAGUUGCAACCUGGUACCCACUCCCCUAGGUUUGAUUCAAGCAGGGAAGAAGGGUGAGUUUCCUCCCUUCAUUUUUAUAGCUUGUUGGAAUCUCUCUGGAAAUUGGUCCCAAAUGUGAGCUCUCCCAUCUCAAAAUUGAUCAAAUGGGAUGCAGGGGAAACCCAAGUCUUUUCACCUGAUAAGGAGGCAGAAGAAAACUUAAGCUCUGGGCUCAGGUUGGUUGGGCAAGGCUAUGGUGACCAGUUCCCAAAUUAGACAUCACCUUGGCUUUAAUUCAACAUGGAACACUUAAUUGUUGUGAACAUAUCGGUACAUUGACUACACAUCACCAUGACAUAAUCACAAAAGUCAAAGCAGUCGGUACUGAAGAGUCUAGAGAACAAAGGCUGAGCAAAAGCUCUCAGGGAGGCUCCCACUUGUUGCCAGGCCUGCCCCACAGCUGGAGUCAAGUGAACAUCCCUCAGAACAGUCUGCAUUGGGCUUGAGUGAUCACUGAUUUGGGAAAGUGAUUCUGAAGUCACAAAUGAACUACAGGAGCAGAGGACAACUUGCAGAAUAUCCUUGAUGGAGCUGAUGGGCUUCAGACUGCAGGGUCCACUCUUGAUCUCAUUUAUGAUGUACUGGACAAGCUCUCAAAAUGGUCUUAGAAACAACAUAGCUUACACUGAACCUCUAGGGGCGAGCAAACCCCAGGCACCAAUG
ensembl:lncRNA